rnacentral:rRNA from 1 species
GAUGAACGCUAGCUACAGGCUUAACACAUGCAAGUCGAGGGACCGGCGCACGGGUGAGUAACACGUAUCCAACCUGCCCUUUACUCGGGGAUAGCCUAUCGAAAGAAAGAUUAAUACCCGAUAUAAAGGAUGGGGAUGCGUUCCAUUAGGUUGUUGGUGAGGUAACGGCUCUCCAAGCCUUCGAUGGAUAGGGGUUCGGAGAGGAAGGUCCCCCAGAUUGGAACUGGGACCCGGUCCAAAGUCCUACGGGAGGCAGCAGUGAUGAAUAUUGGUCAAGGGGGGCUAGCCUGAACCAGCCAAGUAGCGUGAAGGAUGAAGGAUUUUGGGUCGUAAACUUCUUUUAUAUAAGAAUAUGUAUUAUAUUCAUAAGGAUCGGCUAACUCCGUGCCAGCAGCCGCGGUAAUAC